CAGACAAGGAGUCAUGAAGAGACAGCGGGGAGCCCUGCUGGGGCUUCUGUGGGUGCAGGUUUGCUGGGUGAGAGGGAUGGACGUGGAGCAGACACCUGCAGCCCUGAGCCUCCAGGAGGGAGCCAGCUCUACCCUGAGGUGCAAUUUUUCCAGCUCGGUGAACAGCGUGCAGUGGUUCCGACAGAACCACGGGGGCGGCAGCCUCACCCGGCUUUUUUACAUCACUUCAGGGAUGAAGCAGGAUGGGAGGUUGAACUGCACGGUGAACACGAAGGACCGGCACAGCAGCCUGCACAUCAGGGCCUCCCAGCAGGAAGACUCAGCCACCUAUCUGUGUGCGGUGGAGGCACAGUGCUCCCUGCUGCUCUGCAGCCUGUCCCCAAACUGCAGCUGGGCUCGUGGCCCCAGCUCUUCAUGGGGCAGAAAGCCCUUUCCAGGUAAAAAGCUCUACCAUGGAACCAUUGGAGUAGUUGACGGAGAUGCCAAUAUCCAAUGCCCAGUUGAAACAUAUCUCCUGGCAGCUAGCAUAUAA